CUACGGGAGGCAGCAGUGAGGAAUAUUGGUCAAUGGGCGAGAGCCUGAACCAGCCAAGUAGCGUGCAGGAAGACGGCCCUAUGGGUUGUAAACUGCUUUUAUAAGGGAAUAAAGUGAGUCUCGUGAGACUUUUUGCAUGUACCUUAUGAAUAAGGACCGGCUAAUUCCGUGCCAGCAGCCGCGGUAAUACGGAAGGUCCGGGCGUUAUCCGGAUUUAUUGGGUUUAAAGGGAGCGUAGGCCGGAGAUUAAGCGUGUUGUGAAAUGUAGACGCUCAACGUCUGCACUGCAGCGCGAACUGGUUUCCUUGAGUACGCACAAAGUGGGCGGAAUUCAUGGUGUAGCGGUGAAAUGCUUAGAUAUCACGAAGAACUCCGAUUGCGAAGGCAGCUCACUGGAGCGCAACUGACGCUGAAGCUCGAAAGUGCGGGUAUCGAACAGGAUUAGAUACCCUGGUAGUCCGCACGGUAAACGAUGGAUGCCCGCUGUUGGUCUGAAUAGGUCAGCGGCCAAGCGAGAGCAUUAAGCAUCCCACCUGGGGAGUACGCCGGCAACGGUGAAACUCAAAGGAAUUGACGGA
rnacentral:rRNA from 1 species